rnacentral:rRNA from 1 species
CCUACGGGCGGCAGCAGUAGGGAAUUUUCGGCAAUGGGGGGAACCCCGACCGAGCAACGCCGCGUGAACGAAGAAGUUAUUCGUAAUGUAAAGUUCUUUUAACAGGGAAGAAAGUGAAAUUUGACGGUACCUGAAGAAUAAGCUCCGGCUAACUACGUGCCAGCAGCCGCGGUAAUACGUGGGGAGCGAGCGUUAUCCGGAAUUAUUGGGCGUAAAGGGUGCGUAGAUGGCAUAGUAAGUCUUUUGUAAAAAUGCUGGGCUAAACCCAGUAGGGCAAAAGAUACUGCAAAGCUAGAGUAUGACAGGGGCAAGUGGAACUACAGGUGUAGCAGUAAAAUGCGUAGAUAUAUGUAAGAACACCAGUGGCGAAGGCGGCUUGCUGGGUCGAUACUGACAUUGAGGCACGAAAGCGUGGGGAGCAAAAAGGAUUAGAUACCCCAGUAGUC